GCCGGGCGCGGUGGCGGGCGCCUGUAGUCCUAGCUACUCAGGAGGCUGAGGCAGGAGAAUGGCGUGAACCCAGGAGGUGGAGCUUGCAGUGAGCCGAGAUCGGGCCACUGCACUCCAGCCUGGGCAACAGCGUGAGACUCCGUCUCAA
rnacentral:SRP_RNA from 1 species